AUUGAACGCUGGCGGCAGGCCUAACACAUGCAAGUCGAACGGUAACAGGAAACAGCUUGCUGUUUCGCUGACGAGUGGCGGACGGGUGAGUAAUGUCUGGGAAACUGCCUGAUGGAGGGGGAUAACUACUGGAAACGGUAGCUAAUACCGCAUAACGUCGCAAGACCAAAGAGGGGGACCUUCGGGCCUCUUGCCAUCGGAUGUGCCCAGAUGGGAUUAGCUUGUUGGUGGGGUAACGGCUCACCAAGGCGACGAUCCCUAGCUGGUCUGAGAGGAUGACCAGCCACACUGGAACUGAGACACGGUCCAGACUCCUACGGGAGGCAGCAGUGGGGAAUAUUGCACAAUGGGCGCAAGCCUGAUGCAGCCAUGCCGCGUGUAUGAAGAAGGCCUUCGGGUUGUAAAGUACUUUCAGCGGGGAGGAAGGGAGUAAAGUUAAUACCUUUACUCAUUGACGUUACCCGCAGAAGAAGCACCGGCUAACUCCGUGCCAGCCGCCGCAGUAA
rnacentral:rRNA from 1 species